rnacentral:lncRNA from 12 species
GCCUGGCUGACCCUUGACCUGUAAAUAGGCAAAGAAAAAUAUCAGAUCCUGAAGGCCGAGAGGCCUAUUCGCUAACAAACCAAUGAAGCCAACAGGAAACGCUGGUGAGACUUUCUGCCCUGAAAGCAUACUGAGCACCUCUGACAUAGAUCAGGAAGGGUUUUCCUAAGCUUUCUCAAGGGGUUCUCAAGACUGAGCAUCAGUGGCCUCCUGGGGUGAGGUGGUGGUGGUGGGGAAGCUGUGAGAUCUGGGUGUGUUGGAAGGAGCAAAGGCAGGAGGGUCCGGGGCACCUGGUCAAAUCCCUUUGAGUUUUUGUGCGGUGUGUAUUUAUUUACUUUUUCUUAGGAGACUGGCCAUCCCCAUCGAUUUCUGAUUGUUGGAGUGGGAGGCUGAACCCGGAAAUAGAGAAACUAAAACACUACCAAGUUGUGAGAAAGAGAAACAGAGGGAAAAAGUGGGAAAGGAAGCCUUGCCCUGUGGUUUGGCCUGAGAACCAGCCAACUGCCUGGUCUGUGGGAAGUUGCUGCAGUCCUCCUGCCACCAGGAUGGUGUGUUACCCAGUGAGAAGCUGAUGGCCCCUGGGCCAAAGGAGACAGAACUCUUUCCCUUCCUGUUAUGGGCCGAUUUGUGACCUUCCAUCCCCAAACUCCUGUUUCAAAGUCCUAACUCUCAGCAUCUCAGAAUAUGAUUGUGUUUGGAGACAGGGCCUUGAAGAGGCACUUGCAUUAAAAUGAGGUAAUCGGAGUGGGCCCUAAUCCAAUUGGACUAGUAUUUUUAUAAGAAGAGGAGAUUAGAACACAGACACGUACAGAGGGAAGCCGUGCAAGGACCUGGGGGAAGACGGCUGACUACAGAGCAAGAGAAAGAGGCCUCAGGAGAAACCAGCCCUCCUGACACCUUGAUCUUGGACUUCCAGCUAAAUGAUGAGAAAAUACAUUUCUGCACUUUAAGCCUUCCAGUGUGUGGUACUUGGUGAUGGCAGCCCGAGCAAACUCAUACAAGUUCCUAUAGCAAAGGGAAGGGAGAAGAAAUGGGUAGGAAAUAUCAGAAAGGGAGAUAGAACAUGAAGACUCCUAACUCUGGGAAACGAACUAGGGGUGGUGGAAGGGGAGGAGGUGGGGGGUGGGGGUGACUGGGUGGCGGGCACUGAGGGGGGCACUGGAAGGGAUGAGCACUGGGUGUUAUUCUGUAUUUGGCAAAUUGAACACCAAUUAAAAAUA